CGGAGCACGUGAAAUUCCGUCGGAAUCUGGGAGGACCAUCUCCUAAGGCUAAAUACUCUCUAGUGACCGAUAGUGAACCAGUACCGUGAGGGAAAGGUGAAAAGCACCCCGGAAGGGGAGUGAAAUAGAACCUGAAACCGUGUGCUUACAAGUAGUCAGAGCCCGUUAAUGGGUGAUGGCGUGCCUUUUGUAGAAUGAACCGGCGAGUUACGAUUUGAUGCAAGGUUAAGCAGUAAAUGUGGAGCCGUAGCGAAAGCGAGUCUGAAUAGGGCGUUUAGUAUUUGGUCGUAGACCCGAAACCAGGUGAUCUACCCUUGGUCAGGUUGAAGUUCAGGUAACACUGAAUGGAGGACCGAACCGACUUACGUUGAAAAGUGAGCGGAUGAACUGAGGGUAGCGGAGAAAUUCCAAUCGAACCUGGAGAUAGCUGGUUCUCUCCGAAAUAGCUUUAGGGCUAGCCUCAAGUGAUGAUUAUUGGAGGUAGAGCACUGUUUGGACGAGGGGCCCCUCUCGGGUUACCGAAUUCAGACAAACUCCGAAUGCCAAUUAAUUUAACUUGGGAGUCAGAACAUGGGUGAUAAGGUCCGUGUUCGAAAGGGAAACAGCCCAGACCACCAGCUAAGGUCCCAAAAUAUAUGUUAAGUGGAAAAGGAUGUGGCGUUGCCCAGACAACUAGGAUGUUGGCUUAGAAGCAGCCAUCAUUUAAAGAGUGCGUAAUAGCUCACUAGUCGAGUGACACUGCGCCGAAAAUGUACCGGGGCUAAACAUAUUACCGAAGCUGUGGAUUGUCCUUUGGACAAUGGUAGGAGAGCGUUCUAAGGGCGUUGAAGCAUGAUCGUAAGGACAUGUGGAGCGCUUAGAAGUGAGAAUGCCGGUGUGAGUAGCGAAAGACGGGUGAGAAUCCCGUCCACCGAUUGACUAAGGUUUCCAGAGGAAGGCUCGUCCGCUCUGGGUUAGUCGGGUCCUAAGCUGAGGCCGACAGGCGUAGGCGAUGGAUAACAGGUUGAUAUUCCUGUACCACCUAUAAUCGUUUUAAUCGAUGGGGGGACGCAGUAGGAUAGGCGAAGCGUGCGAUUGGAUUGCACGUCUAAGCAGUAAGGCUGAGUAUUAGGCAAAUCCGGUACUCAUUAAGGCUGAGCUGUGAUGGGGAGAAGACAUUGUGUCUUCGAGUCGUUGAUUUCACACUGCCGAGAAAAGCCUCUAGAUAGAAAAUAGGUGCCCGUACCGCAAACCGACACAGGUAGUCAAGAUGAGAAUUCUAAGGUGAGCGAGCGAACUCUCGUUAAGGAACUCGGCAAAAUGACCCCGUAACUUCGGGAGAAGGGGUGCUCUUUAGGGUUAACGCCCAGAAGAGCCGCAGUGAAUAGGCCCAAGCGACUGUUUAUCAAAAACACAGGUCUCUGCUAAACCGUAAGGUGAUGUAUAGGGGCUGACGCCUGCCCGGUGCUGGAAGGUUAAGAGGAGUGGUUAGCUUCUGCGAAGCUACGAAUCGAAGCCCCAGUAAACGGCGGCCGUAACUAUAACGGUCCUAAGGUAGCGAAAUUCCUUGUCGGGUAAGUUCCGACCCGCACGAAAGGCGUAACGAUUUGGGCACUGUCUCAACGAGAGACUCGGUGAAAUCAUAGUACCUGUGAAGAUGCAGGUUACCCGCGACAGGACGGAAAGACCCCGUGGAGCUUUACUGUAGCCUGAUAUUGAAAUUCGGCACAG
rnacentral:rRNA from 1 species